rnacentral:lncRNA from 1 species
UUCGUUAAGGCCCAGAGACUAAAUUGUAAAAAUCUAAUCGCUAUCAAUUUUUAAUUGAAAAAAAAGCUUGGGGACCUACCUAGAAAUUAUCCAAAUGAUAAAAAAUGGUAAAUAAACCAAAAGUUAAUAUGUAUUAGUGGAUGACAAUGAUGAAUUAAUAGUAAAUUAAUUAAAAUAAAACCUAAUUAAAUUGUUAAUUAAAACUAAUUAAAAGUUAAUCAGUUGUAUAAAUAGCAAAUAAGGUGGGAAGAGAGAUGAAAUGUUGUCAUCUUCGCAAAACUCGUAGCAACCAAAGAAAAGAAAAAAAAGAAGAAAACUCAAGGUUUUCCAAGCAUUUGGCCAUACAAUUAGGUAUGGAAAUUUCUUAUAAUUUUUAUAGAUUUGAGGUCACGGGAACUUGAUUUAGCUAGCUCGUGCACUAAUUUCUGAGACUGUUAAAAAUUUAGAGAGUCAAUGACAAGCGAUGCAAACUUUCGAUUUGUAUUUCUACGAUACAGGAUCAAUUUAAUUGUGGCUUGUUCAUGUUAUUUUGCAUUAUAUGGUAUUCAAGUGAACCGAAAAUGGUCAUUUAAAUUGAAUUGCUAUGAUUGAGAUUGAAUAUCUAUAUAUGGACUAAGUUGAAUAAAAUAUAAAAUAAUAUGUUUUAAUCAGUACAUGAUAAUUGGUAUGAAAUUGUUUUGAAACAUGUUAUAUGAUGAGUUGAAAUGAUGAAUCAUGAAUUGGAAUAUGUAACUAAAUUGCAAAUUGGUUAUCCUAUUAGUUGUUCGGACUACAUUAGAUAUAGUUGGCAUGCCAUUGGAUCGGGAUAUUGAUUGUGAAAACCAUCGUUGUCAAGCAACCCGGGGUGACGAAUCUGUGUAUCAAUUCUAAGUUCGUGUCUGGUUAAUAAAAUUACAAAAACAUGGAUUGACUAAAUGGUAUGUGAAUUGAAAUGUAAUUGAAAAGUGACUUUCGACAAAAUGUCAAAGAUCAUACAAAAUGAGUUGAAAAUGAGUCCUGGGGACUGGUUGAGUAAUAGUGAGCCAAUAGGCUUGAAAAUGGUUGAAAUAUUGACAUGAAAUUUAAUAUAUAUAUAUAUACAUGUUGAUAAUGGUAGAUGAUGGCAUGUACCUUGGAUUUAAGUUAGUUUUGUAUCAUAAAUGGUCAGUUUUGGUAUUUGGUUGAUUAGUGUAAACUUGAAGUACCAUUGUCGCAUAUUUUGGUUUGAUUAUACUUGGUAUGUUGUUGAACUAGUUGUAUUUGAAUGUUUAAAUGUUAUUUCAAGUGAUUCCAACUUAUAUCAAAUUGGACCAUUGGAAAAUAGUCUGUCAUGUCAUGACAAGAUUAAACAGGGAGUUACGUCGUGAUGAUGUACUUUCAAUGUUGCGAUGAGUCAAGCUAGUUUGUUGCGUCGUGUUGAAGAACCCCCGAAGUAGCGACAAGGAACCCCUGAAGUUGAGAUGAUAGCUCGGUACUUUGAAAUCUUUACAACUUGGUCCUAUUCCGAUCUUGGGUUAGCAAAAGAUCUUUUGUAAGCUCAUGGAUGACUCGAAAAUGAUAUAUAUCGUAUUACACACGUGUUGUAUUUAAAUGCCCAAUGGAAUGUAAUUGAAUAUAAAUGAUCACAGUUGCUCCAACAACGAAUGUGACAUCUUGAAGCUUAGACCCGAUGAUCAACUCGGGUAUGGGGUACUACAAUUUUUUAUAUUUAAAUAUUUAAUAUUAUAUUUUUCUAUUUUUAAUUUAAAUUUAAUGUUUUUAAUGUAAAUAAACUUAUUUGUCACGUGAUAUUUUUUUAUUGGGCAAAACAUGCCACGUGGCACUUUUCAUUA